rnacentral:tRNA from 1 species
UAUUACUAGUAGUACUUGUACAAUUACGAGUAGUACUUCUACUACUACAAGUAGUACUUGUGCUGCUACGAGUAGUACUAG